ACAGAAAAAAAAGAGCACCACUUAAACUUUUUCCAACUGAGAUUCCAAACUGAGAUGCUGUGGAAGAGGCAGUGUAAAAUACCUCCAGUGUUUCGAGGAGCCAUAUAUGACUUGAACUUUUCUUCUGCAUAAGACCUUGUCCCCAAACAAAGCAGUUAUACACACAGCCCCACCGCAUUUAUUUCUUCAAUUUACUCUCUGUCCCUUUCAACUGCGAAAUGACCUCUUUCUUUUCCCCAGUCUCUUUCUCCCAGGCCUCACUCCGCUCACCCCCACGUUCCAGCUGGUAACAGUUUAUGAAGCGUGUUGCAGUGUUAAUACCUUGUUAAGGUGGUUUCAGCUGUUGGGUCUUUGAGACGUCAACGUCAGGACUGUUUUACCGUGAACCCUUGACGGGUAGGUGAAGUCUGGGGACGUGCGGAAUUUGUACCUCCUCACGCUGCAGGAAGCCUACAGCUAUGGGCAUCUCUUCCCGUGAUGUGGUGUUGCUGGCUGGGUCAUUAUCUAUUAUAUGGCCUAUUAAAUCAUUAUAAUUGGAAAAGAAUUACAGCAAAGUCGUCAUCCUUUGAAGACAUAUUUGAUUAAAAGCAGAAAACCUUAGCGGACACACUGGAGGCUGAAAUGCAGUCAGCGGAAAUGGAAACACUUCAACCCUGCCCCUGUGGCGAGAAUGGCUUCCCGUUAGACAAUCUGGUCAGAUUCUUUAUGGACCCAAAGGGAGGUACAUGUGCUGGGCAUUGCGUUUAUGUUUUUCCUGACCUACCUGCUCCUUAGAACUACCGUCCUAAGACUGCUGCUUGUGUAAAACCUUUCAGAACUAUUCAUCAUUGAUCCAGCCAUAAUCACACUGAUCUGUUGGCUUUUCACUAAACUUUACUUAAGUGAAAACUAACCCUCUUCUUCCUGUUCAGGAUUAUGAUUGACUGUAUGUCUUUUGAAUGGUGUGAAGAUGCUGGCUGUGAAACUGGAACACUGCUUUAAACGUCUUUAAAAGAAGGAAAGAAAAAUAGGCCCCCUCAAAUACUAUCGAGCAAGAUAAAAGAAAAUAAUAAUGGUGCACAUUGCAUUGUCAAUGUUGACCUUUAGAUAAUCUUUUUAGAACAUCUCAACAGCUUGGAAAAACUUUUCUUUCCCCACACCCAUUUGUUUAUUCCCAAACUAUUUUUUAAAACAAGAAUUUUACAAGGGUAAAUUUUGAUUCAUUGAUGCAAUUUUUCAACUAUGCUACACUCAUAUUUAUUGAAAGUCCUUUAAAUAUUUCAGUUUCCUGGAUGGCAAACAGAUGCCACUCCCUGCCUGCUAUGUAGAAUUGGGAUAGUUGAAGAAAAAGAUAAAGAAACCCAAGGCCACAAGGACAUGAAAAACUGGGUAGGAAAAAUAAUAUGGCCUAUGGGAAGCUAGGGACAUGAAAUCUAGUAGAGUAUAUUACCAGUCCUGUUCUCCAUCCUGACCCUCCCAAAUCACUUAGAAUCUUUGAUGAAGUCAAGAUUUACCAAUACAUAGGUAACAAGAUGUAAAAUGCAUAAUAAUAAACUAUGUUGUAUCUUUUAUGUAGACAGUUGAUUUCAGAUGCUUAGCUUUCACUAUAUGCAUCUAUAAUUUCAUGACACUAGGGUAGUCUAAGCACUUAGUAAUAUUUAGGAUCCUCGGUCAUUUCUCCCAGUACACUCUGUGCACAUAUGUAAUUUUUCUACAACUAAUAGCUUAUUCUUUUAUAAAGAACAGUAAUGGGAAUGGGUAAUUAUCAUCUAGUUGCUUAGGACUGUACUUGUAUAUACGCAAGGGCAGAACUCAUGCUCCACCUUUCAAAACAGUGUUCCUAAACAUCACAGCACACCCAGAACUGGUGAGUGGGGGCAUGUGUGCUGACCCAGAUGAUUAGCACAUCCAUCUAGCCAGCAGCACUAUGAAAUACUUUCCAUUUUUCACUUUGCACAUCUUUUAUGUGAAAACACACACAUACACACACAAUGGUAGCUUUAAUUAACAACAUAGCUCUGUUUAAGGAUUAAUGUUUAAAAUAGUGAUUUCAUGUUAUCCUAUGUCUAAAAUUAGUACGAAUAAAAUAUGGUGGUUACAUAAGCAAAUAUUUCAAGAAAUUUUGGUUCUUUCAUAUUUUUUGUCUAGAUUCUUGUUUUUUUAUUGUUUGCAAUUUUACUAUAAAAGUCUUUGUAAAAAACUUUGUGGUUGGGUCUAAAAGUUGUCUACUUGGGUAUAAGUAAAGGCUAAUGGAUCCAUUUACUGUUAUCUCCAGAUGUGUUUAAUAAAUGAGUUAGAAAACAUGCAGGAACCAAAACAGUGGUUGUAAUAUAUUGGCCCAAAGGAAUAUUUUUACCAGGAGAUUAGUCUGUUACAUAACAAUCAACUAAGACUCUUGAUAAGGGAAACGUUUUCUAUCGUUAUGCAAGGAAUGAUAUGUGAUACCUAGAGAAGAAUGAAAACUUGGAGAGAACUUUGAGAACAUAUUUUAGGGGCUUUGCUGAGAAAAGAACCUGGCAACUGAUUUUAGCAAAGAACUCUUACUCUCCCAUUCCUGCAGUGUUCAAGCUACUACAUUUAAUAUUGUUUGAUUCCAUUUGUUUAGUUUGAUAAAAAGUUCCUUUGUGAUUUUAGAGUGGCCAUAAUUCUUAAAUCAGGUUACCAAAUAUUAUUAAAUUAGGCUGUACCAUUAUCUAUUUGGAAUUAAUGUGAGGUAAUAUCCUUCCUAAUUUAUAGUACCUAUUCUAGUAGAUAUUUCUGGGAUAUAUUAUGGUCAUGAGUAUAUGUGAUCAGGAAUAUAAAAUCAUUCCUGGCAAAGAAGUUAUCACAAGAUAUUCAAUGCAAAGGAAUAUUUGAUGCUUAUCAAUACGCUAUAAAGAACUUUAAAAAAAAUGUCUUCGGAUUUUGUGUAAGAGACAGUCUUCAAGAUAAGUUUGGGCAGUUCACAUUUUGAAAGGAAAUUUAAACUUCACUCUCAAGUGACCUCAUUCAAUUGAGUAGUUAUUUUAACCAUUGAAGGGGACCCUAUAGCAGAUGUAUAAUACAUAUCUUAGCCCAUAUUAGACUUGAUUAUAAUUGAUUUCCAUCUCUCCCACUAGGUUGUGACUCCAUGAGAGAAAGAGGGGUAGGUCCAUCAGUAUAAUUGAAUUCUGUUUUCCAAAAUUGGAUGUUUUUAUAUAUGCUUUGCAUAUUUGAAGGGUUCCUGAAACUUCGAACUAACUAGGCAAAGGGAGCUACAGAACAUUAGACUUGUUUUAAACAUGCAGACAUGACAUUGAACUUUCUUUUUAAAAU